UACGUAGGGAGCGAGCGUUGUCCGAAGUUACUGGGCGUAAAGCGCGCGUAGGCGGGCUGUUAAGUGAGAGGUGGAAGGCUGGGGCUUAACCCCAUGCAGUGCCUCUCAUACUGGCGGUCUUGAAUUCGGCAGGGAGAAGUGGAAUGGCUGGUGUAGCGGUGAAAUGCGUAGAUAUCGUAAGGAAGACCAGUGGCGAAGGCGGGUCUCUGGACAGUUCCUGACGCUGAGGCACGAAGGCCAGGGGAGCAAACGGG
rnacentral:rRNA from 1 species